rnacentral:rRNA from 1 species
UACAGAGGGUGCAAGCGUUGCUCGGAUUUACUGGGCGUAAAGCGUACGCAGACGGUGAGAUAGGUCGGAUGUGAAAGCCCCGGGCUCAACCCGGGAACUGCAUCCGAAACCAUCUCGCUAGAGUAUGAGAGAGGGAAGCGGAACUCCUGGUGUAGAGGUGAAAUUCGUAGAUAUCAGGAGGAUCAUCUGCGGCGAAGGCGGCUUCCUGGCUCAUUACUGACGUUCAGGUACGAAAGCGUGGGUAGCAAACAGG